rnacentral:lncRNA from 1 species
GUAAAAUAAUGAUAUUUAUAUCCUACCAAAUACAUCUGUAAGGUGAAGAUAUUCUAUCCUUUCCUUUCAGACCAAUCUGCAUAAAUCAAUCGAAAGUUGUGUAAUGAUAUCUACGAUAUAAACGAUACCCUACCUAUGACGAGACACUUUUUAUUGUCAUAAAUCAACACUUUACUAAAAAUAUUGCACGCGAUCUUGUUACACUGCAUAUGCUUUUAAAGGCAUUUAAGAUGUUUUUAUUUACCCUUUGUUCCCUUACCCGACAUUAAGCAGGUGGCCCUGAUACAUUACCGAAUUCAGUUCUACUUUUUUAUUAUUAUUAAAUUGGACAAAAAAUAUGAAUGAGUAG